AGUAACGGCGAGUGAAGCGGCAACAGCUCAAAUUUGAAAUCUGGCGCAAGCCCGAGUUGUAAUUUGUAGAGGAUGCUUCAGGGCAGCGGCCGGUCUAAGUUCCUUGGAACAGGACGUCAUAGAGGGUGAGAAUCCCGUAUGCGACCGGUUGGCACCCGUCACGUAGCUCCUUCGACGAGUCGAGUUGUUUGGGAAUGCAGCUCUAAAUGGGAGGUAAAUUCCUUCUAAAGCUAAAUACCGGCCAGAGACCGAUAGCGCACAAGUAGAGUGAUCGAAAGAUGAAAAGCACUUUGGAAAGAGAGUUAAAAAGCACGUGAAAUUGUUGAAAGGGAAGCGCAUGCAACCAGACUCGUCGGCGGUGUUCCGCCGGUCUUUUGACCGGUCUACUCGCCGCCGGCGGGCCAGCAUCACUUGGGGGCGCCGGAUAAAGGCGUGGGGAAUGUGGCUCCUCGGAGUGUUAUAGCCCCGCGCACAAUACGGCGAUCCUCGAGUGAGGUCCGCGCUUCGGCUAGGAUGCUGGCGUAAUGGUUGUUUGCGGCCCGUCUUGAAACACGGACCAAGGAGUCUACCAUCUAUGCGAGUGUUCGGGUGUCAAACCCCUACGCGUAAUGAAAGUGAACGGAGGUGGGAACCGCAAGGUGCACCAUCGACCGAUCCUGAUGUCUUCGGAUGGAUUUGAGUAAGAGCAUAGCUGGUGGGACCCGAAAGAUGGUGAACUAUGCCUGAAUAGGGUGAAGCCAGAGGAAACUCUGGUGGAGGCUCGCAGCGGUUCUGACGUGCAAAUCGAUCGUCAAAUUUGGGUAUA
rnacentral:rRNA from 1 species